GUUUGAUCAUGGCUCAGAACGAACGCUGGCGGCAGGCCUCAAACAUGCAAGUCUAGGGGGUGUAGCAAUACAUCACCGGCGGACGGGUGCGUAACACGUGGGAAUAUACCUUUUGGUUCGGAACAACGCAGGGAAACUUGCGCUAAUACCGAAUGUGCCCUUACGGGGAAAGAUUUAUCGCCAAAGGAUUAGCCCGCGGCCCAUUAGCUUGUUGGCGGGGUAACGGCCCACCAAGGCGACGAUGGGUAGCUGGUCUGAGAGGACGAUCAGCCACACUGGGACUGAGACACGGCCCAGACUCCUACGGGAGGCAGCAGUGGGGAAUCUUGCGCAAUGGGCGAAAGCCUGACGCAGCAACGCCGCGUGCGGGAAGAAGGCCUUCGGGUUGUAAACCGCUUUCAGCGGGGAAGAAGGCGAGCGGGUUAAUAGCCCGUCAGCUGACGGUACCCGCAGAAGAAGGUCCGGCUAACUACGUGCCAGCAGCCGCGGUAAUA
rnacentral:rRNA from 1 species